rnacentral:rRNA from 1 species
GCAAGUCGAACGAGGUCUUCGGACCAAGUGGCGGACGGGUGAGUAACGCGUGAGUAUCUGCCCAGAGGUGGGGGACAACAAUUGGAAACGAUUGCUAAUACCCCAUAUGCCGAGAGGUGAAAGGUUUACUGCCUUUGGAUGAGCUCGCGUCUGAUUAGCUAGAUGGUGGGGUGAAGGCCUACCAUGGCGACGAUCAGUAGCUGGUCUGAGAGGAUGAUC